UGCGAGUCAUUGUAGUAAUACAAGGCAGACGGCUCAGUAACACGUAGUCAAUCUAACCUAUUGACGGGGAUAACCUCGGGAAACUGAGAAUAAUACCCGAUAGGCCAUUAUGCCUGGAAUGGUUUAUGGCUGAAAUGAUUUAUCGCAAUAGGAUGGGACUGCGGCCUAUCAGUUUGUUGGUGAGGUAAUGGCCCACCAAGACUAUUACAGGUACGGGCUCUGAGAGGAGAAGCCCGGAGAUGGGUACUGAGACACGGACCCAGGCCCUAUGGGGCGCAGCAGGCGAGAAAACUUUGCAAUGUGCGAAAGCACGACAAGGUUAAUCCGAGUGUUUCCUGCUAAAGGAAUCUUUUGUCAGUCCUAAAAACACUGAUGAAUAAGGGGUGGGCAAGUUCUGGUGUCAGCCGCCGCGGUAAAACCAGCACCUCAAGUGGUCAGGAGGAUUAUUGGGCCUAAAGCAUCCGUAGCCGGCUGCACAAGUCUUCGGUUAAAUUCAUAUGCUCAACAUAUGGGCUGCCGGAGAUACUGUGCAGCUAGGGAGUGGGAGAGGUGGACGGUACUCGAUAGGAAGGGGUAAAAUCCUUUGAUCUAUUGAUGACCACCUGUGGCGAAGGCGGUCCACUAGAACACGUCCGACGGUGAGGGAUGAAAGCUGGGGGAGCAAACCGGAUUAGAUACCCGGGUAGUCCCAGCUGUAAACUAUGCAAACUCAGUGAUGCAUUGGCUUGUGGCCAGUGCAGUGCCGCAGGGAAGCCGUUA
rnacentral:rRNA from 1 species